rnacentral:tRNA from 1 species
CGGGGUGUAGCGUAGCCCGGUUAGUGCGCGUCGUUCGGAGCAAUGAGGUCAGGAGUUCAAAUCUCUCCACCCAGA